CAUACGGGUUGAAGCAUGACCGUAAGGACAUGUGGACAGUAUGGGAGUGAGAAUGUUGGCAUGAGUAGCGAGAUGUGGGUGAGAAUCCCACAGGCCGUAAACCCAAGGUUUCCAGGGGAAGGUUCGUCCGCCCUGGGUUAGUCGGGACCUAAGCUGAGGCCGAAAGGCGUAGGUGAUGGACAACAGGUUGAUAUUCCUGUACUACCGAUAACCGUUUGAGAGAAGGGAUGACACAGUAGGAUAAGCUAAGCACACUGUUGGUUAUGUGUGCC
rnacentral:rRNA from 1 species